UAUGAAGACAUCAUUAAUUAUUAAUAUAGACCUAAUAUUAUUAAGUCAAUAAUCAAAGAAUAUUAGUUUUAAGUGAAAGAUAUGUAUUGCAUGUUUUUGAUGCUAGAAAAUCUAACGAUUUCUCGAGUAGCCAAAUAUAAGAUCGAAUUAGCCUGUAUAGUUUGUCUCGUUGGCGGUUGUCUGCCAAGAAGUGUGUCGAUCUAUUAUGCAUAGACUGCGAGCAUUUUAAACAUUCAUCGGCAUACACAUAACAAGAAUUUCACAAAGACGACAAUGGGCCACACGCUGAUGACGAUAAACCUUAAUAAAGAAGAAAUAAAUAAAUCUACGUUUUACGAGAUGACACAAGAAGAGACAUAAAAAGGAGAACAAAAAAAAAAGGAACCA